rnacentral:rRNA from 1 species
AUUGAACGCUGGCGGCAUGCUUUACACAUGCAAGUCGAACGGUAACGCGGGGCAACCUGGCGACGAGUGGCGAACGGGUGAGUAAUGCAUCGGAACGUGCUCGGUAGUGGGGGAUAACUGCUCGAACGAGCAGCUAAUACCGCAUACGACCUGAGGGCGAAAGGGGGGGAUCGCAAGACCUCUCGCUAUUGGAGCGGCCGAUGUCGGAUUAGCUAGUUGGUGGGGUAAGGGCCCACCAAGGCGACGAUCCGUAGCUGGUCUGAGAGGACGACCAGCCACACUGGGACUGAGACACGGCCCAAACUCCUACGGGAGGCAGCAGUGGGUAAUUUUGGACAAUGGACGCAAGUCUGAUCCAGCCAUGCCGCGGGCGGGAAGAAGGCCUUCGGGGUGUAAACCGCUUUUGUCAGAGAAGAAAUCUUCUGGGUUAAUACCUCGGGAGGAUGACGGUAUCUGAAGAAUAAGCACCGGCUAACUACGUGCCAGCCGCCGCCGUAA